GGUGCGCUUUGGUGCGCCGAGCUUUGGGAGCAGGUCGCUGAGUCCCUUAGCGAGCAGGGGCGUGCGGCGGUCGCUCUCCUUCUCUGCUGCGGCGGCGGUGGUGGCUCCCCUUCUCGGGGCGGAGGCGGUGGCUCCCCUUCUCGGGGCGGCCGCUCUCCUCCUCGGGGGUGCGGCGGCGGGCUGAGACGGGCUGCGGCCGCAAUGAGGAGGUCGCAUGACCGGAAGAGGGGCCACCCUGGACUAGAGCGCCUUCUGCCCACUGGUGAAACGACGGUGUUCAGAGGAAGUGUGGCACAUCGGGCGUUUGUACAGAGCCUCGUAAACGGCUAGUUUAAAUACAACAUUACUUGGUAACUGAAAGCAACUAACUUGUAGAACAUAAAAAGUAAACCUGGCACCGUACAUACGUACAUUGUAAAGUAAACUUGUCAACUAUCAUGUACGUUGUCUAAUAUGUUCGG
rnacentral:rRNA from 1 species